rnacentral:rRNA from 1 species
GACGAACGCUGGCGGCGUGCUUAACACAUGCAAGUCGAACGGAAAGGCCCUGCUUUUGUGGGGUGCUCGAGUGGCGAACGGGUGAGUAACACGUGAGUAACCUGCCCUUGACUUUGGGAUAACUUCAGGAAACUGGGGCUAAUACCGGAUAGGAGCUCCUGCUGCAUGGUGGGGGUUGGAAAGUUUCGGCGGUUGGGGAUGGACUCGCGGCUUAUCAGCUUGUUGGUGGGGUAGUGGCUUACCAAGGCUUUGACGGGUAGCCGGCCUGAGAGGGUGACCGGCCACAUUGGGACUGAGAUACGGCCCAGACUCCUACGGGAGGCAGCAGUUGGGGAAUAUUGCACAAUGGGCGGAAGCCUGAUGCAGCAACGCCGCGUGCGGGAUGACGGCCUUCGGGUUGUAAACCGCUUUCGCCUGUGACGAAGCGUGAGUGACGGUAAUGGGUAAAGAAGCACCGGCUAACUACGUGCCAGCAGCCGCGGUGAUACGUAGGGUGCGAGCGUUGUCCGGAUUUAUUGGGCGUAAAGGGCUCGUAGGUGGUUGAUCGCGUCGGAAGUGUAAUCUUGGGGCUUAACCCUGAGCGUGCUUUCGAUACGGGUUGACUUGAGGAAGGUAGGGGAGAAUGGAAUUCCUGGUGGAGCGGUGGAAUGCGCAGAUAUCAGGAGGAACACCAGUGGCGAAGGCGGUUCUCUGGGCCUUUCCUGACGCUGAGGAGCGAAAGCGUGGGGAGCGAACAGGCUUAGAUACCCUGGUAGUCCACGCUGUAAACGGUGGGUACUAGGUGUGGGGUCCAUUCCACGGGUUCCGUGCCGUAGCUAACGCUUUAAGUACCCCGCCUGGGGAGUACGGCCGCAAGGCUAAAACUCAAAGGAAUUGACGGGGCCCCGCACUAGCGGCGGAGCAUGCGGAUUAAUUCGAUGCAACGCGUAGAACCUUACCUGGGUUUGACAUGGAUCGGGAGUGCUCAGAGAUGGGUGUGCCUCUUUUGGGGUCGGUUCACAGGUGGUGCAUGGCUGUCGUCAGCUCGUGUCGUGAGAUGUUGGGUUAAGUCCCGCAACGAGCGCAACCCUUGUUCACUGUUGCCAGCACGUUAUGGUGGGGACUCAGUGGAGACCGCCGGGGUCAACUCGGAGGAAGGUGGGGAUGACGUCAAGUCAUCAUGCCCCUUAUGUCCAGGGCUUCACGCAUGCUACAAUGGCUGGUACAGAGAGUGGCGAGCCUGUGAGGGUGAGCGAAUCUCGGAAAGCCGGUCUCAGUUCGGAUUGGGGUCUGCAACUCGACCUCAUGAAGUCGGAGUCGCUAGUAAUCGCAGAUCAGCAACGCUGCGGUGAAUACGUUCCCGGGGCU